UACAGAGGGUGCGAGCGUUGUCCGGAAUCACUGGGCGUAAAGGGCGCGUAGGUGGCCCGACAAGUCACUGGUGAAAGCUCGAUGCUCAACAUCGAGUCGGCCAGUGAUACUGUGGGGCUGGAGCACUGUAGAGGCUCAUGGAAUUCCGGGUGUAGCGGUGGAAUGCGUAGAGAUCCGGAAGAACACCGGUGGCGAAGGCGGUGAGCUGGGCAGUAGCUGACACUGAGGCGCGACAGCGUGGGGAGCAACAGG
rnacentral:rRNA from 1 species